UGGGGAAUAUUGCACAAUGGGCGCAAGCCUGAUGCAGCCAUGCCGCGUGUAUGAAGAAGGCCUUCGGGUUGUAAAGUACUUUCAGCGAGGAGGAAGGCGUUGUGGUUAAUAACCGCAGCGAUUGACGUUACUCGCAGAAGAAGCACCGGCUAACUCCGUGCCAGCAGCCGCGGUAAUACGGAGGGUGCAAGCGUUAAUCGGAAUUACUGGGCGUAAAGCGCACGCAGGCGGUCUGUCAAGUCGGAUGUGAAAUCCCCGGGCUCAACCUGGGAACUGCAUCCGAAACUGGCAGGCUAGAGUCAUGUAGAGGGGGGUAGAAUUCCAGGUGUAGCGGUGAAAUGCGUAGAGAUCUGGAGGAAUACCGGUGGCGAAGGCGGCCCCCUGGACAAAGACUGACGCUCAGGUGCGAAAGCGUGGGGAGCAAACA
rnacentral:rRNA from 1 species